UUCACUCCAACCCAAUGUGACGUUACCAAACUGUUGCCUCGGCGGGAACUCAUGCCCCGGGUGCGUCGCAGCCCCGGACCAAGGCGCCCGCCGGAGGACCAACCAAAACUCUUUUUGUAUACCCCCUCGCGGGUUUUUUAUAAUCUGAGCCUUCUCGGCGCCUCUCGUAGGCGUUUCGAAAAUGAAUCAAAACUUUCAACAACGGAUCUCUUGGUUCUGGCAUCGAUGAAGAACGCAGCGAAAUGCGAUAAGUAAUGUGAAUUGCAGAAUUCAGUGAAUCAUCGAAUCUUUGAACGCACAUUGCGCCCGCCAGUAUUCUGGCGGGCAUGCCUGUCCGAGCGUCAUUUCAACCCUCGAACCCCUCCGGGGGGUCGGCGUUGGGGAUCGGCCUUCCUUCACGGGGGCCGUCUCCGAAAUACAGUGGCGGUCUCGCCGCAGCCUCUCCUGCGCAGUAGUUUGCACACUCGCAUCGGGAGCGCGGCGCGUCCACAGCCGUUAAACACCCAACUUCUGAAAUGUUGACCUCGGAUCAGGUAGGAAUACCCGCUGAACUUAAGCAUAUCAAUAA
rnacentral:rRNA from 1 species